GCCAGGUGUGGUGGCGGGCACCUGUAAUCCCAGCUACUCGGGAGGCUGAGGCAGGAGAAUUACUUGAACCCAGGAGGUGGAGGUUGCAGUGAGUCGAGAUCAUGCCACUGCACUCCAGCCUGGGUGACAAUAGUGAGAUUCUGUCUCAA
ensembl:misc_RNA Metazoa_SRP Metazoan signal recognition particle RNA